AAGUAAAAAUCGUAACAAGGUCUCCGUAGGUGAACCUGCGGAGGGAUCAUUACUGAGUGAGGGAGCAAUCCCGACCUCCAACCCUUUGUGAACGCAUCAUGUUGCUUCGGGGGCGACCCUGCCGUUCGCGGCAUUCCCCCCGGAGGUCAUCAAAACACUGCAUUCUUACGUCGGAGUAAAAAGUUAAUUUAAUAAAACUUUCAACAACGGAUCUCUUGGUUCUGGCAUCGAUGAAGAACGCAGCGAAAUGCGAUAAGUAAUGUGAAUUGCAGAAUUCAGUGAAUCAUCGAAUCUUUGAACGCACAUUGCGCCCCCUGGUAUUCCGGGGGGCAUGCCUGUUCGAGCGUCAUUUCACCACUCAAGCCUCGCUUGGUAUUGGGCGUCGCGAGUCUCUCGCGCGCCUCAAAGUCUCCGGCUGUACGGAUCGUCUCCCAGCGUUGUGGCAACUAUUUCGCAGUGGAGUUCGAGUCGUCGCGGCCGUUAAAUCUUUCAAAGGUUGACCUCGGAUCAGGUAGGGAUACCCGCUGAACUUAAGCAUAUCAAUAACCCG
rnacentral:rRNA from 1 species